GCCGAUGUAGCUCAGUUGGUAGAGCAAUGCUUUCGUAAAGCAUCGGUCGCCGGUUCGAGUCCGGCCAUCGGCU
rnacentral:tRNA from 1 species